GUUAAAUCCAUCCUGUUGCCAUUUGUGUUUUAUUUGUAUCAUGUGUUCUUUGUUCCCAUUUUCCUCUUUUUCUGAUUUAUUUUGGAUUAAUUGAAUAUUUUAAUGAUUCCAUCAUAUUUCUUUUGUUGGCUCAUUACAUGUAACUCUUUGUUUUAUUAUUUUAGGAUAUAUAUUAGCCUUUUCUUUUUAAACAUCCACACUACAAUGUCAGCUCAACUAAGCAUUGUGCAACUGAACAGCAGAAUAGAGGCGAUUUUUAGAGGAACAUCAUUAUCUGUGUUGAUGAAAUCAUAACUUUGGCUUAAAAUUUUUAUUGUUGCACAGUAGUUAAGGUUUCUUGUGCUUAGGAACACUGGACAUCACUUCAGCACUAUACUUGGGGGCAUUUUAAAUAGAAAAAUCACAAACAGAAAGCAUACAGAGGUGAAAAAUAUGGCACUAAACAGACCACGAAAAGGACACGUUUACAUGGUGUGAGUUGAAACAAAAAGGCAAAUGGUCACCUUGAUCAACCUCAGCUGGGAACAUGCGCAUCAGGCACCAUCUUUUGAGCUGCUCUAUGAAGAGGCCAAUAUAUGAAGAAACUCACGGAGUCCUUUGGCCAACUGCCAGGAAGAAACUUGGC
rnacentral:lncRNA from 1 species